AUAGAAAUGGCAGAGUAGUGCGUUAGAUUUAAGCUCUAAAUAUAAAAGAUUUCUUUUUUUCUAUA
rnacentral:tRNA from 1 species